rnacentral:rRNA from 1 species
AGAACGAACGCUGGCGGCAUGCCUAACACAUGCAAGUCGAACGUGAUCCAGGCUUCGGCCUGGUGAAAGUGGCAGACGGGUGAGUAACGCGUGGGAACCUGCCCUGUGGUAGGGAAUAACCGUGGGAAACUGCGGCUAAUACCCUAUGAGUCCUUCGGGAGAAAGAUUUAUCGCCAUAGGAGGGGCCCGCGUCGGAUUAGGUAGUUGGUGGGGUAACGGCCUACCAAGCCUUCGAUCCGUAGCUGGUCUGAGAGGAUGAUCAGCCACACUGGGACUGAGAUACGGCCCAGACUCCUACGGGAGGCAGCAGUGGGGAAUAUUGGACAAUGGGGGCAACCCUGAUCCAGCAAUGCCGCGUGGAUGAUGAAGGCCUUCGGGUUGUAAAGUCCUUUCGGCGGGGAAGAUGAUGACGGUACCCGCAGAAGAAGCCCCGGCUAACUCGUGCCAGCAGCCGC